CUACGGGGCGCAGCAGUGGGGAAUAUUGCACAAUGGAGGAAACUCUGAUGCAGCAGCGCCGCUUGGAGGAUGACACUUUUCGGAGCGUAAACUCCUUUUAUAUAGGAAGAAGAUGACGGUACUAUAUGAAUAAGCGCCGGCUAACUCCGUGCCAGCAGCCGCAGUAAUACGGAGGGCGCAAGCGUUACUCGGAAUCACUGGGCGUAAAGAGCGUGUAGGCGGAUUAAAAAGUCAGAAGUGAAAUCCUAUAGCUUAACUAUAGAACUGCUUCUGAAACUCUUAAUCUAGAAUAUGGGAGAGGUAGAUGGAAUUUCUGGUGUAGGGGUAAAAUCCGUAGAGAUCAGAAGGAAUACCGAUUGCGAAGGCGAUCUACUAGAACAUUAUUGACGCUGAGACGCGAAAGCGUGGGGAGCAAACAGGAUUAGAUACCCUCGUAGUC
rnacentral:rRNA from 1 species